rnacentral:rRNA from 1 species
GACGAACGCUGGCGGCGUGCCUAAUACAUGCAAGUCGAACGAGUGGCGAACGGGUGAGUAACCCGUGGGUGAACUCCCCUGCACUUUGGGCUAAGCCUGGGAAACUGGGUUUAAUACCGGAGAGUGAGGGACGGUUUCGCGGCCUACCAGUUUGUGGGGGGGGUAAUGGCUACCAAGGCGCGACUGGUAGCCGGCCUGAGAGGGUGGGCGGCCACAUGGGGACUGAGACACGGCCCAGACUCCUACGGGAGGCAGCAGUGGGGAAUAUUGCGCAAUGGGCGCAAGCCUGAUGCAGCCAUGCCGCGUGUAUGAAGAAGGCCUUAGUGUUGUAAAGUACUGUCGGCGGGGAGGCGUUACCCGCAGAGGAAGCACCGGCUAACUCCGUGCCAGCCGCCGCGGUAAUUC